CAGUAGCCGCGGUAAUACAGAGGGUGCGAGCGUUAAUCGGAUUUACUGGGCGUAAAGCGUGCGUAGGCGGCUAAUUGAGUCGGAUGUGAAAUCCCCGAGCUUAACUUGGGAAUUGCAUUCGAUACUGGUUAGCUAGAGUGUGGGAGAGGAUGGUAGAAUUCCAGGUGUAGCGGUGAAAUGCGUAGAGAUCUGGAGGAAUACCGAUGGCGAAGGCAGCCAUCUGGCCUAACACUGACGCUGAGGUACGAAAGCAUGGGGAGCAAACAGGAUUAGAUACCCCGUUAGUCCCUGUCUUUAUACA
rnacentral:rRNA from 1 species